rnacentral:lncRNA from 12 species
UCCCUGAUUCUCCCUAGAUGGGACACCUCCAUCUCUGAUUCUCCCUAGAUGGGAUACCUCCUUCCUGGCUGUGCCAAGGACAUCACAGUGACCUUGAAAUCAGAUGCCCCAGCCGUCUUCAGGAGGCACCUUGUGAAAUGUAAGGUGACCAAGGUCAACGUUGCGCGGCCACGAAGGAAGGUUCCAGACUGGAACGACCAAAUGUCCAUUGUCACAUGGAAGGAUACCACCAGGAAAAACCCAGCAGCCAGCUGGCCUGAGAAAGAGAAGGUGGUCGAGACAGCCCCAGAACCAGCUCACACUGUGGAGGAGGAGAGCCUCCAGGAGGCCGAGGUGUACCUCAGUGCCUCUGUUGCCUACAGCCAGUUCAAGCUUUGGUCGAGACAGCCCCAGAACCAGCUCACACUGUGGAGGAGGAGAGCCUCCAGGAGGCCGAGGUGUACCUCAGUGCCUCUGUUGCCCACACCGAGUCCAAUCUGAACACAAUCGUGGUUCAGCUCAAGGACACCGUGCCCAACCAGACCAGCACAGCCACGUGAGUGCUGGAGGCCAGCAGGGCCCUGCGAGUGGGAGCUGCCUUUGCCAGGGCUGUCCAGUGCCUGCUUCCCAGAACUCUGCCCCAGCCAAAACCAGCACUGGCCCAUCUGUGUGCACGCAAAGCCAAGCAGGAGAUGGUGGUCAGGAGAGGUUCAAUGCUGCCAUAACCUUCUGCUGAGAACAGCCAUGGGUUUGCUUUCACUGCCUGUCACCUGUCCUUAUCUGCUCAAGAAUAAGUUUGCAGUCAAACCAAGACAUAAAGUCCAGAGUAAGCCUCCUAGCUUCAAUGUCCUGGACACCAUGUUGGCCCUUUCAUCUUAAACUUCCAGACUUAGAAAUACUUUUUGGGCCACCCAGGACAG